CCUACGGGAGGCAGCAGUGGGGAAUUUGGACAAUGGGCGCAAGCCUGAUCCAGCAAUGCCGCGUGAGUGAAGAAGGCCUUCGGGUUGUAAAGCUCUUUUGUCAGGGAAGAAACGGUGGAGGCUAAUAUCCUUUGCUAAUGAUGGUACCUGAAGAAUAAGCACCGGCUAACUACGUGCCAGCAGCCGCGGUAAUACGUAGGGUGCAAGCGUUAAUCGGAAUUACUGGGCGUAAAGCGUGCGCGGGCGGUUUUGUAAGUCUGUCGUGAAAUCCCCGGGCUCAACCUGGGAAUUGCGAUGGAGACUGCAGGGCUAGAAUCUGGCAGAGGGGGGUUAGAAUUCCACGUGUAGCAGUGAAAUGCGUAGAGAUGUGGAGGAACACCGAUGGCGAAGGCAGCCCCCUGGGUCAAGAUUGACGCUCAUGCACGAAAGCGUGGGGAGCAAACAGGAUUAGAUACCCUGGUAGUCCACGCCCUAAACGAUGUCUACUAGUUGUCGGGUUUUAAUUAACUUGGUAACGCAGCUAACGCGUGAAGUAGACCGCCUGGGGGAGGUACGGUCGUCGAGAGUUAAACGUUACUAAUUAGAGUAGNGGCGNGNGAGNGCGACGGACGACGACGAGGGAGGAGG
rnacentral:rRNA from 1 species